rnacentral:rRNA from 1 species
CACUCCUACGGGAGGCAGCAGUGGGGAAUUUUGGACAAUGGGCGAAAGCCUGAUCCAGCAAUGCCGCGUGAGUGAAGAAGGCCUUCGGGUUGUAAAGCUCUUUUGUCAGGGAAGAAACGGUGAAAGCUAAUAUCUUUUGCUAAUGACGGUACCUGAAGAAUAAGCACCGGCUAACUACGUGCCAGCAGCCGCGGUAAUACGUAGGGUGCAAGCGUUAAUCGGAAUUACUGGGCGUAAAGCGUGCGCAGGCGGUUUUGUAAGUCUGAUGUGAAAUCCCCGGGCUCAACCUGGGGAUUGCAUUGGAGACUGCAAGGCUAGAAUCUGGCAGAGGGGGGUAGAAUUCCACGUGUAGCAGUGAAAUGCGUAGAUAUGUGGAGGAACACCGAUGGCGAAGGCAGCCCCCUGGGUCAAGAUUGACGCUCAUGCACGAAAGUGUGGGGAGCAAACAGGAUUAGAUACCCGGGUAGUCCC